rnacentral:rRNA from 1 species
CCUACGGGUGGCAGCAGUGAGGAAUAUUGGUCAAUGGACGAGAGUCUGAACCAGCCAAGUAGCGUGAAGGAUGAUUGCCCUUUGGGUUUAAAACUUCUUUUAUAUGGGAAUAAAACAGGGUAUGCAUACCAUCCUGUCUGUACGAUAUGAAUAAGGAUCGGAUAACUCGGUGCCAGAAGCCGCGGUAAUACGGAGGAUCCGAGCGUUAUCCGGAUUUAUUGGGUUUAAAGGGAGCGUAGGUGGAUUGUUACGUCAGUUGUGAAAGUUUGCGGCUAAACGGUAGAAGUGCAGUUGAAACUGGCAGUCUGGAGUACGGUAGAGGUGGGCGGAAUUCGUGGUGUAGCGGUGAAAUGCUUAGAUAUCACGAAGAACACCGAUUGCGAAGGCAGCUCACGGAACUGCGACUGACGCUGAUGCACGAAAGUGUGGGUAUCAAACAGGAUUAGAUACCCGAGUAGUC